rnacentral:rRNA from 1 species
GAUGAACGCUGGCGGCAUGCCUAAUACAUGCAAGUCGAACGAGAGGAAGGAAAGCUUGCUUUUCUGAAUCUAGUGGCGAACGGGUGAGUAACACGUAGGUAACCUGCCCAUGUGCCCGGGAUAACUUCUGGAAACGGAUGCUAAAACCGGAUAGGUAGCAGACAAGCAUUUGACUGCUAUUAAAGUGGCUAAGGCCAUGAACAUGGAUGGACCUGCGGUGCAUUAGCUAGUUGGUGAGGUAACGGCCCACCAAGGCGACGAUGCAUAGCCGGCCUGAGAGGGCGGACGGCCACAUUGGGACUGAGACACGGCCCAAACUCCUACGGGAGGCAGCAGUAGGGAAUUUUCGUCAAUGGGGGGAACCCUGAACGAGCAAUGCCGCGUGAGUGAGGAAGGUCUUCGGAUCGUAAAGCUCUGUUGUAAGAGAAAAACGACAUUCAUAGGGAAUGAUGAGUGAGUGAUGGUAUCUUACCAGAAAGUCACGG